GAAAAACAGUAGAAGUAAAAUCACACAUUCUUAGAUAAUCAUAUACUCUAAUCAGAUGCUGUCGGAAAAAAGAACGACAAUUUUUACCAUAAGAAGCGGCGAUUUUAUUUUGUUUUCCCGAGAAAAAAAUGAGAAAGAUGCAGAAGUAUAAUGUAUUCAGAAGCAUACUAUCAAAAAACAGGUAUUUGGAUAUCUUCGAGAAAAAUGUCAAAAACAGGACCACUUCCACAAUCACUGCAAACGUUGGAACUCGCAAGGAUUCUUUGUGGGAAACAGCGAAACCUUUUGAGGAUAUUCCACAUCUUACUAUGCUCCCUAUCAUAGGAACUGCCUGGGUUUUUUUACCCAUCAUAGGCCGGUAUAAAAUGGAUAAACUUCAUUUAGCUGCACGCCAUAAACGACAGCUGCUUGGUGAUAUUAUAAGAGAAAAGUUUGGACAUUUGAAUAUGGUAGCAUCUUUCAACCCUGAUGAUAUGGAAACUGUUUUUAGAAAUGAAGGUCCUUAUCCAAAUAGAAGCGAAUUUUCCACUAUGAAAGCAUACAGAGAAUCUAGGAAAGAAUGGUACAAGACAACUGGUAUCAUGGUCUUGCAAGGCAAUGAAUGGCAUGAUUUGCGUUCCAAAACUCAGAAACAUCUUUUGAAACCAAAGGCUAUUCAGGCAUAUUUAGGAGCAAUGCAAGAUGUGGCAAGAGAUUUCGUUCAAAAGAUAUAUGAAACUAGAGAUUCUAAUAAAGAAGUUCCUAAUCUUCUUGGAGAACUAUACAAAUGGGCACUAGAAUCCGUUGCUUUCGUUGGCUUGGAUACGAGGCUUGGUUGCUUGAAAACCAAUCUACCGCCGGAUUCAGACGGUAUGAAAAUGAUCAGAUCUGUUCAGACGCAGUUCGAAUGCAUGAACAAAUUAGAAGCGUUUUCAGGGAAUAUUCAGUUUUGGAAGUAUUUUCCAACACCAACGUGGAAGAAAUUUACCCGGGAAUGCGAUAUCUUCACAGAAAUCGCUUUCAAAUACAUAUAUCGAGCUUUAGAAGAAUUGAAAAAAAAAGAAGGAAACGAAGAUGAAGAAUUAACUUUACUUCAAGGCAUGCUUUCCACAGAAGGACUAGAUGCCUCAGGUGCAAUGGUGACAGUUGCAGACAUGCUUAUGGCCGGGAUUGAUACGACAUCACAUUCUGUGGGUUUUCUUCUGUACAAUUUGGCUAAAAAUCCAGAUAAACAGCAAAUUUUAUAUGAAGAAAUUUCCAAAUUGCUUCCAUCGAAGAAUCUCAGAAUUACUCCAAAAGUUUUCAGCGAAUUGAAAUACUUGAAAUCGUGCAUGAAAGAAUCACAAAGACCCUUAUUGCAGUCGUUCACCAAGAAAUCUGCAGAGAUGAAAAGUGUUUCAAAAAUCCUGAAAAGUUUCUACCUGAACGAUGGUUAGAAAAAGAAGACAAGCAUCAUCCAUACGCCUUCCUACCUUUUGGUUUUGGUACACGCAGCUGUAUUGGUAGGAGACUCGCAGAACUGGAAAUUAUAAGUCUCAUGACAGAGAUAAUAAGAAAUUUUAAAGUGGAAUACCAUUAUGAAGAUAUUGAUAUGCUGACUCGAAUGAUUAAUGUUCCAGAUAAACCUCUAAGGAUAAAUUUCAUCGAACGGUAGUCAUCAUUCAUUAGAGUUUCCACCAUCGAUGAAAGAAAAGGAACUUACAAACUUAAUUCUUCUAUUUAAAUUUCUUCAGCCUAAUUAUCUGUAGACAAAUAUAUGUAUAAAAUAAACGAUUAAAAGAGAUUCAAGAAAUUCUUUGAAUCACUUUUGAGUAA
rnacentral:misc_RNA from 1 species